rnacentral:rRNA from 1 species
GAGUGAAGCGGCAACAGCUCAAAUUUGAAAGCUGGCCUUCGGGUCCGCAUUGUAAUUUGUAGAGGAUGCUUUGGGGCAGCCGCCUGUCUAAGUUCCUUGGAACAGGACGUCAUAGAGGGUGAGAAUCCCGUAUGUGACAGGACAUGGCACCCUAUGUAAAGCUCCUUCGACGAGUCGAGUUGUUUGGGAAUGCAGCUCUAAAUGGGAGGUAAAUUUCUUCUAAAGCUAAAUACCGGCGAGAGACCGAUAGCGCACAAGUAGAGUGAUCGAAAGAUGAAAAGCACUUUGGAAAGAGAGUUAAAAAGCACGUGAAAUUGUUGAAAGGGAAGCGCUUGCAAUCAGACUUGUUUUGACUGUUCGGCCGGUCUUCUGACCGGUUUACUCAGUCUGGACAGGCCAGCAUCAGUUUUGGCGGCCGGAUAAAGGCUCAGGGAAUGUGGCUCUCACUUCGGUGGGAGUGUUAUAGCCCUGGGUGUAAUACGGCCAGCCGGGACUGAGGUCCGCGCUUCGGCUAGGAUGCUGGCGUAAUGGUUGUAAGCGACCCGUCUUGAACACGGACCA